GCUCUGCAAGCUGGCACUGACACUGCCUCUGUCCCCACAGUCUCCAUCCAGGCCCCCACUGUCUUCCCCUUGGCCACCUGCUGCAAGGACACCAUCACCAGUGCUGUGUCUAUGACACUGGGGUGCCUGGUCACCAGCUACUUCCCGAUGCCAGUGACUGUGACCUGGGACGCAGGGUCCCUAAACAAGAGCGUCGUGACCCUCCCCGCCACCCUCCAGACCUCUGGCCUCUACACCACCAGCAGCCACGUGACCGUCUGGGGCAAGUGGGCCAAACAGAAGUUCACCUGCAGUGUGGCUCACGCUGAGUCCACCACCAUCAACAAGACCUUCAGCGCUUGUGCCAUGAACUUCAUUCCACCCACCGUGAAGCUCUUCCACUCCUCGUGCAACCCCUCCGGUGACACCAGCCACACCAUCCAGCUCCUGUGCCUCAUCUCCGGCUAUGUCCCUGGUGACAUGGAGGUCACCUGGCUGGUGGAUGGGCAGAAGGCCACAGACAGGUUCUCACACAUUGACCCUGGCAAACAGGAGGGCAAGGUGACCUCCACCCACAGCGAGCUCAACAUCACGCAGGGCGAGUGGGUGUCCCAGAAGACCUACACCUGCCAGGUCACCUACCAAGGCUUCAUCUUUGAGGACAAUGCUCGCAAGUGCACAGAGUCUGAGCCCCGAGGCGUGAGCACCUACCUGAGCCCGCCCAGCCCUCUUGACCUGUACGUCCACAAGUCGCCCAAGAUCACCUGCCUGGUGGUGGACCUGGCCAGCAUGAAGGGCAUGACCCUGACCUGGUCUCGGGAGAGCGGGGAACCCGUGCACCCAGACUCACUGGUCAAUAAGACUCAGUACAACGGGACAAUCACCGUCACUUCGACCCUGCCGGUGGACGCCACUGACUGGGUUGAGGGGGAGACCUACCAGUGCAAGGUGACCCACCCGGACCUGCCCAAGGACAUCGUGCGCUCCAUCGCCAAAGCCCCCGGCCGGCGUGUCCCCCCGGAGGUGUACGUGUUCCUGCCGCCCAAGGGGGAGCCGGAGGCCAAGGACAAAGUCACCCUCACGUGCCUGAUUCAGAACUUCUUCCCCCCGGACAUCUCAGUGCAAUGGCUUCGAAACGAUAGCCCCGUUGGGGCAGAACAGCAGGCCACCACGUGGCCCCACAAGGCCACCGGCCCCAGCCCUGCCUUCUUUGUCUUCAGCCGCCUUGAGGUUAGCCGGGCAGACUGGGAGCAGAGGAAUGUGUUCACCUGCCAAGUGGUGCACGAGGCGCUGCCCGGCUCUAGGAUGAUCAAGAAAUCCGUGUCUGAAAACCCUGGUAAAUGAUGCCCAUCCUCCUGCAUACCCCUCCCCCCAGAGCUCCACCCUCCUGGCGCGGGGGAGGGGCCAGCUGGAUCUUCUGUCUGUCAUUGUCAAUAAACACCGCAGUGCCUGCUCA